UAUAGGAAAUUGUUAGUGGCAGACGGGUGAGUAAUGCGUAGGAAUCUACCUAGUAGUACGGAAUAGCCAUUAGAAAUGGUGGGUAAUACUGUAUAAUCCCCGAGGGGGAAAGAUUUAUCGCUAUUAGAUGAGCCUACGUUAGAUUAGCUAGUUGGUGAGGUAAUGGCUUACCAAGGCUAUGAUCUAUAGCUGGUCUGAGAGGACGAUCAGCCACACUGGAACUGAGAUACGGUCCAGACUCCUACGGGAGGCAGCAGUGGGGAAUAUUGGACAAUGGGCGAAAGCCUGAUCCAGCUAUGCCGC
rnacentral:rRNA from 1 species